rnacentral:piRNA from 1 species
UGUUGAAGGAGACCAGGCUGAUGCCACCUGC